CCCAUAAUCUGAAUUUGAUCCCUUUCAAGGACGGUUAUUCAACUGCUUGCCGUUUCGUCAGUAAUUCCCGUGUGCUACGCUUUACAGAACUUUUUUGCUUAUUCAAAUUCCAACGUCUAAAGAUAAUACACGAGUGCAGUUUUUCAGAGAGAGUAUGUUCUUUUCCUGCCACAAGAACAUCAGCAAGUUCUAGCCUUUGGUGUUUGCAGGGCGCAGUUGGGGCGGUUUUUGAGAUAGGUUUGUAAUAAAUUAGUCGAGAUCUGGGUGGCUUCGAAGUCUAUAGAGAGAUAUGGAGCCUCCAAAAGGGUUUUUGGCUUCUUUGUGGAACCUUAUUCGCUUUCUCCCUUUCUUCAUUGGGCUUCUACUUCUGGGUACUACUAAAGGUAUCAUUUUCUGCCCAUUGGUAUGCCUUAUCAUGACAAUUGGAAACUCUGCUAUCAUAUUAGGUCUUUGGCCAUUCCAUACUUUU
rnacentral:misc_RNA from 1 species